CCUAAAAAGUACUAUUAUUUUAUUUAUUUUUGAUGUUCAAAAAUUAGCCUUUGACAAGUUAAGGGAUAAGAUUUGUAUUUCUGUAGCAACUGUGAAUAAUUGUGUAAGUCGAUUUCAGUGAUUUUAUAGGAGAGCGAUUUUAAACUUUGACCAGCUGCCAUAAAUCCCUACUUAGCCAAUAACUCACAUCUCUCUCAUGGUUUUCUUGUUGGUCCAAUGAGUUAGAAAUGUAUUGAAUGUGUGCUAGACGCCUCUGACUACAUCCUAGCAUACUUAGUCAAUUUUUACCAAAAUUCGACUUACACACUAAUUCACAGUUGUUACAGAUUUAUUGUUUCUCCGAAUAAAGUGGUCACUCCGAAGUGUCAAAUUUGAGCAUUACUGUUACGAUGACUAUGGUUAUGUACUUGAUGUAAGGUAUCAAAAAUAUAUAUAAUAUAGUUGGAUUCCAGAGAACUCCUCGAUGGUCGCUCUACAUAACGGACAGUUAAAAUUCUCUGUCAGGAGUCGUAUGGCGCAAGUAUUACAGUAUUUGUGCGUACAUGGCUGUAAGAUGACGGUCGUCUCUUCAUUCAUACAAAUGGGACAUAUAUCAACAACUUCUAAAAGAAACAAUGUAAAUUAUAAAGGGAACAAUGUUGUCCAUUCAUACUAAUUACCCGUACAUACCAUUUAAAUCUUAAAAUUCUUCCACAAGUCCAUUCCAGUUAAUUUGAUGAUUUGGUCCAAUACGCUGGCGAUUUACUAAAAUUGACUACCUUCUGGCUGUUGUAUGGGACCCAACAUUUGAUUUAUAUAAGAUUCGUUUAUAUGUCCUACUCUGCGUAAAUAUUGGACAGGAUCUCCACCAUUACGUAUGUCUUGUAAUGCAUUUUGCAACAAGUUAUUGUUGAGAUGCCUUGAUGUAGCAAAUCUUCGACGAACCUUUAAAUUUCAAGAUAGGAGUGGCAAAUGUUGUUUAAAGCCUAUUUUAGCGCUGAACUAAAACUAAAAACUAGAAAAACUAGAAAAACUAGAAAAAUUAGAAAAAAUAGAAAAACUUGAAAUCUAGAAAAACUAGAAAAGAUAGAAAAACUAGAAAAUUGAAAAACUAGAAAAACUAGAAAAA